AGUAGAAAAGCUGGGUCAAAUGGUGAUUCCAAUCCAAGUUUUCUGAGGAAUCUCCAUACUGCUUUCCAGAGUGGUUAUACCAAUUUUCAGUCCCACAUCCUUU
rnacentral:pre_miRNA from 1 species